CAUGGAGCAGGGUGGCCGCACCCAGGGCGUUGAAGGUGUCCUGGGCUUCCAUGGUCAGGCACCGUGUGACGGUUGCGCGUUGUCGUUCAUGACC
rnacentral:tRNA from 1 species